GGGAGCCGAAACGUCUUGAUUCUGAAAACAGUGUCCAGAUGACUACGACUGAAACCUUUUCUACGAUAGAACACUCCUGGACGAAUGAGGGACUACACCGUCCUAGCACAAGUAAAGCAGAGUUAUAGAGUCAGUGAACUGACUUGGGAAUAUUUUAAACACAAAGAUUUAUCCAAAGUUUUCUAAAAUAACACAUUAGCCACAAUAAGCUACUGGUCAUACCACAGCAUGUAAGGCUGUAGCUACCUUGAGUGUAUUAAACAGAGAAAAUAUGUUAAAUUGCUUAUGAAUUUGACUUUUCAUUUCCAAGAAGAAAAAGGUGUUAUUUCAAGUUACAUAUUCUUGCUUUAAGCAUUCAAUUAAAGCUUGACAACAACUAAUAAAUUGAUCUUGUUGUAAGAUUGUUUUGUCAAUUGAAAAAUAGCAUUAAAAAAAUUUAAUAGCAACACAUUUCCCAGAGAGGGGGUCCUUGAAACUGGACCUUAAUGCUGGGAAAUAAAACGUACACACAACAUACUUAAACAUAAAAUAUGAAUAUAAUUGAACAAAAAAGACAAAAAGAUUAAUCUAAAUACUCAAAACAUUUUGGGUACCUUAUUUUUGGCAUUGGUGGAUGCAGGACUCGUGACCAAAAAUGCUGUGUUGAAUAUUUUCCUGUCUGUCCUGCACUUUGAACUCAGCAAGGCAAGUUCCUAACAAUGUUUGUUGUAAUGGAAAUAAAGUUAACUCAACUUCAAAGGCUUCAAUCAGGGGUCUGUGAGGGAAUUACAGGGGGCCUUUUCAAUCAAAAUAUAUUACAUUUCAGAAUCUACAGUCAAGUACAGUUUUAUUGUCACUUAUUGCAGUGGAGAACAUCUGUGAGUGUGUGUUGUUAUGCUGUUUUGCUUAGUGGAUACGAGACACAUAAGAUUUGUAGUCUAAUUAUGCUGCCAGACAAAACAGUAGCUACACUUCACAGUGAAGGUCUUCAGCAUUAGGGUUAGGCUAUAUGCCACCAGGGGAUACAUGUUGAGGAUCCCUGCAGAGAGAGAGGCCAUUUUGUAAAUGAAAGGUAACAGAUUUGGCUCUUGUAAUAGUGUCAAAGUGUCUUGUGAUCAAAACAGUGAACUAUUCCAAAGUAGAAGCUGUUGACUCCUCUGCGGAAAUGCACAUGUAAUUCACUGAGCAACAAGACCUGGUUGUUAUGCUUCUUAUAAGCAUCAAAGAGUAUUUAACAUGCUCUGACAGCACUCCCAGCAGUAUGGUCACACUAUGUGGCUAAAGAAGGGUUCAGCACUAUGCAGAAGUGGGUUUCCUGCAGUUGAACAUUGCACAUGUUUGUGCAUUUCAUAUUUCAGUUCAUCAAAUGAUUACUAAUGAAAUCAUUUUUAUGAAUCCUCAAGAUUCUAAUUUGAAUUCAAUUAUUGUAUAUUGGACUCUCACAUGACUUAACUGUAUGUUCCACAAAUGGUAUGGCACAUACAGUACCUUAGUUUUGAGCAGCCAAACAGCAGCUAACCGCUUCCUUUUCUCUGCUCCUCCUCCACAAAUACAUUUAAAACUUGAUGGUGAAGUUCCAGUCUGACUUUUUCUGUCUUCAUGUCAUCAUGUUCAGCCUAAACCAAGCAGCUCUGCUCUCCAUUCUAUUACUUAUGUACCAAGUCUUUGCAGUGUUAGGGACUCAUCCAGUUGACCACAGGGAUGUACUGGUCUCCAGGGGAGACCAAAGCUGAAUAUUUUUAAUGCUCAGCAUGAUGACGCAGGACUCUAUGUAUGUAAUGUGGCUGGUAAACGUGGUCUAGCGACUACUGAGUGGAAUUUAACGGUGUCUGAGAAACCUGAAGGUAGGCAGAGCACAAAGCAGGGCUAAUCAUCUCUACACCGGACGUAGUGCAUUUCAAAGCUCCAAAUGCAUGCUACUUAAAUUAAUUCACAUCUGAUUUUAUGCAGAAAUCAGUCAAUCGUGGUAUUUUCUAUACAUGCUCACACCUGUAAUUGGAUUGCUUCUAUGUGGCUUCACUCCAGCUGUCUGUCUCUGCAGAAAACUCAGGACCAGGACACCAAACCAGAACCCAGUCCAGGACCAGUUUCAUCUUCAGUCAGAAGGAGAGGUGGUCUUCCGUCAACCGCAGGGUGGCACAGACAGUAGGACAAAUAACCAGCAGAGGAGUCAGUACAUGGAGAGGGUCAAUUCAAUCUAUGGUCUCUAAAGUUAAACAAGAGACGUGAACAGAGUGUACAAGAGGAUUCAAAUGUGAUGGGUAUUACAUUUUUCAAUGUCAAUGCAGGUGUUUCAUAGGAAGUAAAUCGGAGAGAGGACAACUGGGUCACUGAUGCCUUUGGCUUAUCUAACAUUAAUACAUUAAAACCAGUGCCUUCACUUUAACAGAUUUUUUAGCUCAUCUUUUAUAUUUAUAAUGCUCUGUGUAUUUUUAUAUGCUCUUAUGUAUAUGAUGGUUUUAUUAUAAGUGUGCUGUGUUGAAUGUUUUCCUGUCUGUCCUGCACUUUGAACUCAGCAAGGCAAGUUCCAAACAAUGUUUGUUGUAAUGGAAAUAAAGUUAACUCAACUCAAAAGGCUUCAAUCAGGGGUCUGUGCUCCCUAGGGUUCUGUGAGGGAAUUACAGGGGGCCUUUUCAAUCAAAAUUAAAUUACAUUUCAGAAUCUACA